UUUGGUUCUUUGUUCUUUCCUCUUUGCAGAAUCGCCUCUCUCUCUCUCUCUCUCUCUCUCUCUCUCUAUCUCUAUCUCUGAGUACAGAACCCACAAAGUCAGCGAUCACCAACCACCGACCACCAGCAAAACCCACAAAACCAUCAACCACCAGCAAAGCAACAACAUCAACAAAACCCACAAACCCAGAGCCACCGACCACCAACAAAAUUCACAAACUCAUUAGCAAUACCGACCACCCCACAACAAACCCAGAUCAGAAACACAAACCAAAACCCACAAAAAUCCAACACACCCACAAAAAACCAAAUUCUCUAUCACCAAUCCAAACCAAAACCGACCCACUACAAAACCCACCACCACAGCGCCACCGCAAAGAGGAAGAGAGAAGAGAAAUUGCAAACCCACCACCACGGCGCCGGAUUUGAGUAGAGGAGAUUGAAAUGUCGCCGGAUCUAAGCAGAGGAAAGUGAAACGUUACCGGUCUAAGCGGGUUUUUGAAACUCCUCUCACUCACUACUCACUAAAACUCAAACGCACCGCUCAAAACUUAGGCGUUGAUAAACCACCGUGUCAGUGACCAAAACACAAACCCGUAACAAUGGUGGCGACGAACGUGAAAUCAGAGACGAUGGCUUUGAUGGACGAGGAGCGCCUUGGAGGCCGAGAUGAACGCCAUCAUUGACCGCCUCUGUGGGCCUGGCAGCCUUGGCCUUUCUGGCAAUCUCGUCGAUUCCGAGGUCUUUUUCUUCUUUAUCUUUCAAUUUUUUGAUUUUUUGAAAUUGUGAGUUGUGAGUGAUAAUAUGUACUCAGAGAGAGAGAGAGAGAGAGAGAGAGAGAAAGGCGAUUCUGGAGAGAGGAAAGAACAAAGAAAAAUGAAAAAAAAAAAAAAAAGUAAUAGUGUUACAAACCAUUUGGGUAAAAGGACUAAAAUGGUCACUUUUUAAAUGGUGUGGACUUUAUUGGUAUUAGUCCAAACCUAAAGGUAGGUUUAUGGAAUUUACCCAAAAAAUAAUAAUACCGGAGGAGCGCACGGUGGUGUCACAUAAUAGUAAAUGACAUAGGAGUAGGACUGUGGGAGAAUGCAAAAACGGUGCGUUGCAUUUUGCCCAUUUAUAACGUUGAAGAGUACAGAGGAUUUUUUUUAGAAAAUAACUAUAAAAUCCAAAUAAUAUAAUUAGUUAGGAAACGUUUUAAGCUAAUUUGGUUUCUAACAAUUCGAGUUCAGAGGAGUCGAUUUUUGGGUUAUAAAAUCGAGUAUAUUGUACUUAAGUUUCCUGUUUUGCCAGCAGCCAGACUGUCCACGUAGGCAAGAAAUUGAGUUCAUUGGACUCGUUUUGUAAGGAUAGAAACCGAGUUCAUUGGACUUGAUUUCUAGGCCAAGAAACCGAGUUCAAUGAACUCGAUUUUUAUACAUAUAAAUCGAGUUCAAUGAACUCGUUUUACAAGAGCAGAAAUCGAGUUCAUUGGACUCGAUUUUGAUUUAAAGGAAACCGAGUCCAUUGUACUCGGUUUCCUUUUGGGCACCUGUCAAUCAUCGCAGCACUCAAAAAAAUAGUUCAAGCACACAAAAAAACUUAAAAACACAAAAACAGUUCAGCACACAAAAAAACUUUCAAAACACAUAGUUCUCACUCUCAUUCCCUCUCACUCAGUCUCUCUCUCGUCUCUCUCUCACAAGAAGUCUCUCUCUCACUCUCACACUCUCAUUCCCUCUCACCUCUCGCUCCGUCGCCGUUGCUGCCUCUCCUCUGUCGCCGUCGCUGCCAGCUCCCUUCGCUCUGUCUCCACCUCGCUCAGUCUGUCUCCCUCAGUGGUUGGCUCCGACUACCCUCACAAAAAUAUGGCUGCUGUUCCUGCUCAGAUCCUUGAUGAGUUCGAUCCUGGUCCCAUUAAGGAUUCAGUGUUAAGGUUUCUAAAAGAUCAUCAAUCGUGUGCUGUUUAGGAAGGCAAGGAUCCGGGGGCACUGAAAUGCCAUGGUCGUAGUGACGAGUUGCAAAAACGACGCCCGAUAGUGGUGGAUGAUCGCGUCCUCGACAUUGUCAAGAGAGUUGGAUUAGAGGGGCUGUAUAGGACCCCAUGUAGAGAGAUUGAUCAUAACUUGAUAACGGCUUUUGUUGAGUGAUGGCAGCCUGAAACCCACACCUUCCACCUGCCACAUGGUGAGACAACGAUCACAUUACAAGAUGUGGAGGUUCUUUUUGCCUUCUUCUAAUCCCCUAAAAGCCUAAAGGGCUAUGGAAAUGGACAGCUUUUUCUCUCUUUUUAUUUUUAAAGUCUGCUCCUUUUUUCCUAACUUGGAUGUUACAAACGGUAACAACACCAAAUAUUUGUAACUUUUUCACAAACCAUGCGUGCUCGUGUUGCACCAUCCUUACACAUUCAUUCAUUCAUGGUCAUGACCAUGUGUCUAUCACAUAGACAGAUUCAUGUUACAAUUUUAC